AGAUGGAUNNNNNNNNNNUUUUAAAAGCUUUUAAAAGCAACCAUGUCUGGUAAGGGCUUCCAGGGUUUUAAACAACACGCAGAAGGGGAGGUCCAGGAUGCUGCAAAUGCGCUGGGAAAGUCUGCACAGCACGUAGUGAACCAGGCUACAGAUGCGGGUCAGAAAGCUAUUGAUCAUGCUUGCAAGACUGCUCAAGAUGGUGUAGAAAAAACAACUGGACAAGCAUCAGAAGCCGUGUCUGGCCUUGGAAAAAAAAUUGGACUUAAGAAAUGAUGAUAAUUUAAACAGAGUGUGAGAUGUUGUAAAAUCAAUGUUUGCACUGCAAUUCAGUAAUCAUUUCUGUAGAAAUAUGAACGCUGUUUUAGAUUUGCAUCAUUUACUGUGCUUAGCUUUAUGCCAUAUGCAGAAUGCUCACCCACCAAAUAGUUUAAAAAAAAAUCUUGUAUGCUCUAGUCAUAAUCUCCCAUUCAGCAUUAAUCACAAAAGUUUCCGCAGUGACUAAGGCAUUGUCUGUCUCAUACAGUGAUGUAAAGGUUGUUGAUACAUUAGUUCAAUGUACCUAAGAAUUUAAAUGAUGAAACUAUUAAUACUCCUGCCAUUACAUAGGUAAUAAACAGUAGAAGAUUU
rnacentral:lncRNA from 1 species